rnacentral:rRNA from 1 species
CAGCAGUCGCCACGGUAAUACAGAGGGUGCGAGCGUUAAUCGGAUUUACUGGGCGUAAAGCGUGCGUAGGCGGCUUCUUAAGUCGGAUGUGAAAUCCCUGAGCUUAACUUAGGAAUUGCAUUCGAUACUGGGAAGCUAGAGUAUGGGAGAGGAUGGUAGAAUUCCAGGUGUAGCGGUGAAAUGCGUAGAGAUCUGGAGGAAUACCGAUGGCGAAGGCAGCCAUCUGGCCUAAUACUGACGCUGAGGUACGAAAGCAUGGGGAGCAAACAGGAUUAGAUACCCCCGUAGUCCCUGUCUCUUAUAC